GGUCACCUUCCCGAGCGAUGGCGAUUUGCUGGGAAUGGAAGGAUACGCAAACCUCUGAUCCACAUUUGUGGUCACAACUGUCACCACCCCCUAGAGGUUCCCAAAAAGUGAAGCCAGCUGUACCUGGAAUUCAUCUAACAGGCCUGCUGUCUUCCCCAGACAUCAGUAUAAACCUGAGUGCGAUACCUGGAAGUCUGAUUUGGGGGAGUGGAAUAGCUGAACCACAGUGUGUCUGCUUGAAACUCUGUUCCUUGUCCCCUAUCCAUGCAGUUAUCAUGGAGAAAAGUCCUCUGCCAACUUGAGAAAUGAGACUUUAUCUUGUGCGAUUGGAUCUGCAGCCCGAUGAUUACAGGCUACACUUAAGGAUGAAUCACAGAUGUGGAACAAAAUACAAAUAUUAUUGUAAAAUACAGUUGGUGAUUAUAUAAAAGUAAAAGUGUAACUGACAAGAGUGAGGAAGUGGAAGUACCGGGAGUGUUAAUUUCCAUGGCCUUUUGGUCUUUCAUGGGAAGAGUCAAGAUACUAAAUCCUAUUAACAAAAGAAGCAGGAGAGGAUAAGAAGCCCUUUACCACAAGAUGCCCUGUGCCAUCUUGGGAGUUUCCAUCAGUAAGAAGGGUCUCAUCAGAUGCAGCCUUCAACCUUGGCCUCCCCAGCCUCCAGAACACUCUUGGGAAGCGAGAGAAAUACCAAGGUCUGAGCUGGCUUUGGAUGAAGGUGAUGGAUCAACCCGAUCUCAAUCUGAAUGGUGAUCUCUGACGAUUUCGGGGGACAAACAGGUACGUUUCUAUUUAUCUAGGACCUGGCGGAAAUGUCCUUCCCCUCAUUCAUAAUUAAGGAGCCUGUGUUAGGUGCGGAAGGGACAGUCAGGGCCCUCACCUGGGAAAUCUUUCCCAGCCCUCCUCCGUUUCCACAGAUUACUCCUCCUUCACCCUAUGUUUCACUUUGUGUAGGUACCAAGGAUGCCAGACCCCAAAUUAUUUUGAUCUCAAGUGUUCGUCAGUAGAACUCUGAGCAAACACUGACACACAUUCAUUUUAUCAACUCUAUAUAGGUGUCACGGUCAAACAAUGUGUUAAUAACCAGUAGGGCUUAAUUUCUGAUUUUUCCUUUUAGUAAAGAAAUCAUUAAAAGCCCUGUGAUCAUCCUGCCCAGAUCACUGGGAGGGCCAGCGCUCUCAUCUACAGUCAGGUGGUAGCCAGUGGCCAGUGCUGCUGUGCAAUCAGCUCUGAGCCCCACGGCCUGCUUGGCCCAUGGGGACUCGGUGUAUGUGAAGAGCCAAUACCAUCUCUCCUCAGCCCAUUCUGUCAGGUCCUGACAUGUUGAUGACCACCGGUUUGUUUUCCAGAUUAGGCUAGGUCAGAAAAGAUGAAAAUAUGCUUGGAACCGUGCAGCCAAGGGUACUGGAGGCCGGUGCCUCCACUUGCACAGGCUGGUUGGUUUCCAACCUAGCUCUGGUCCUGGGUGCUCACUCAUACAGAAAGGCAAGGCCACACCUGAGCACGUCUGCAUCAAGGCUUGUGGUUCUUUGUGCAUUUAUUUCAAUUCUAUAAACAAAUGAGAGAGAAGGGGUGACAUGGGGCUGGACCUAUUCAACAGCAAGUAUGUCCUUCCAUAUCUACGUCACCUUGGUGAUCUAUUUGGGCCUUGUCCUAACUCCUGCAUGAGCUGUAACCCUCAAAAAAAUCAGUGCCUUCCCAGGGCCUCGGUUUUGCAUCUGCAGUCCGUGAAGUUGCACUAGAUAAGUGGAUCUCAACAGAGCAUUGUCCGUCAUCACAUCAGAGGAGGGGACUCUACUGGCCUCCAGUGGUAGAGUCUAGAAAUGAUGCUCAAUUUGGCUGCGUUCUGCAUCCUUUCCCCAUCUGACUAGAACAUGAAUCACUGAGUUUGGGUUCAGACUCUCCUCACCUCCUGAAAGGGAAGUAAUAUUCUCAAAUGUCUGACUGGAGUGUUAUUGUGCCCCAUUCCACUAUAUGGAGGGGAAAAAAUAAGUAACGGACGGAAGUGGAGCCUCAGGAAAGGCAGGAAUGGCUCUCUUAGAGGUCAGGCCCUCAUGGCUCACAUGUGUGGACAGCGCCCUCUCCUGGUGUGUGCAUGCAUAACCACAACGAGGUGAUUCUAGAAACCAUACACACAACCAAAAUCCUGAUUCCUGUAUCUCUAAUAACCUUGUCAUGAUUUCCCAAGUUAGGAGGUGUCAAGAAAACACAAGAGGCUCAUAAGAAUUUGAUUUUAAAAAACAGAUACUUAACAAAUACUGACCCAUUUCUUAAAUGACUAAAUUCAAGCCCAGUAUGACCAGACCAUUUAUGGAUGUUUCAUGAACAAUCAACAUAGCACUCACUCCACAGAUGGCGGGAGGAGUUAUUUUAAACAUGAAAAGAAAUGGAAUUGGAUUUCUGUCUCCCAUUAAAUAUAAGCAUCAAUUCCUGGAGUACAUAAUAGCAAGAUGUGUUAGCCUCAAAAGGCUAAACUUUAAAACUCUUAGAAAAUAAUUGUCUUCAGGAAUUUAGAUAAGGGAAGAUUUAUAAGCAAGUCACAAGAGGAAUCAUAGACAAAAGAAAAACAGCCUACACUAACCUUAAGAACUACUGCUCUUCAAAAGAUGAGCUACAUUAAUGUAUUUGUAAUACGUACAUCAAUACUAUAUAAAUAAUGCCACAAAUCAAUAACCCCCACUAUAAGAAGUGGAUUUAAAAAAUUGAACAGCACUUUACAAAAGAGGCUGUCCAGAUGGCCAAUUCCACAUGGAAAGAGACUCAGCAUCAUUAGGGAAAUUAAAUACAAAAUGAUAUAGCAAGACCCCUAGAAGGGCUUUGAUUUUAAAAAAUGAACUGAUUGAAUUGUUUGUGACAAAGUAAGGCAAUUAAAACUCUCACACUUUGUUUAAUGGGCAUUUAAACUGAUACAAAUAAUUUGUAAAAUUGCUUGGCAAUAUCAACUGAAGCUAAAGUACUACGUACGUUUCCCUAAAAGAAAAGGAGAGCAUAUAUUCUCCAAAAGACAUAUACGAGAGUAUUCAUUACCUCCUUGUCCUAAUAGUGCCCAACUGUAAACAACCUAAAUGUCCAUCCCUGAUCAAUGGAUGACUCAAUGAGUCUAUUCCUGCAGCAAUGAAAAGUGAAUUAUACAUAACAUGGAUGAACCACAGAGACAUAGUGUUAAAUGACAGAGGCCAGAUAAGGGGAAAUAUACUGAACAAUUCCAUUUAUAUGAAUUUUAGGGAUAAACAAAACUAAUUCCUAGGAGUAGAAGUCAGAAUCAUGGUUACUUUUGGAGUAUGGAAGGUAACGUGAAUAACUAUUUACAAUAUUGUAAGUGUUCUAUUUGUAUCCUGGAGAGUUACAGGGCCAUGUGUCUUGUUCCAGAUGUACAUUUAGCUAUGUGUUAUACUUUAAGACACUAACCCUCCCCCAAAACACCAAAGGUAUAUGAGUUUCUGUACUAAUACUGCACUCUGAAUUUUGAGAAAUGUUUGUAAGUCCACAACUUAAUGAAGAAAAUAUACUUUCAUCCAAGUGAUCAACCCUUUAAUAAUUUCCUUGUCUCUAAAUUAAGAGAUAUAUUUAUAAUCUCUUAAAGGCAAUGAUUAAAUUGAGAAUUUAAGGGAGAUAUAGCAUGAGAGAACUCUGAAACUAAGAAAAAGGCAGAUGGCAAAAUAGAAAAUGGCCGAAAGACUUCUUUGCAUUUUUCAGAAUUCUAGUUUUUCUAAAGCUAGUUAGUGUAUUCUAUAACUACUUUAACAUUACUGUUUAGGUCAAUAACACAUGAAUAUACUUUCCUCUUGGAAACCGGCACCUUCCAGAAAAGGCUAAAGCCUCUGUUGACCUCUAAUCCUGGUCUUCUGUUUGGUACCCAGAGAAAAUAGCUGGGGUCUUUCUCAGCCUGGAAGUCUUUGAUCCUGAGUGUCUGCUGUCCUCAGCGAUACGAUAUGCAAGUGACCAGGCAGAAGGCGAGGGUGCUGAGAACCACUUUUUCAUUUCCUUGCAGGCCUGUUAAUGGCCUGCCUCCUGGUCUAAACGGAU